rnacentral:rRNA from 1 species
UACAGAGGUGGCAAGCGUUGUUCGGAAUUACUGGGCGUAAAGGGCGCGUAGGCGGCUUGGUCAGUCCCGUGUGAAAUCCCUCGGCUCAACUGAGGAAGUGCGCCCGAAACUGCAGGACUUGAGUACCGGAGAGGAUGGCGGAAUUCCCCAAGUAGAGGUGAAAUUCGUAGAUAUGGGGAGGAACACCGGUGGCGAAGGCGGCCAUCUGGACGGAUACUGACGCUGAGACGCGAAAGCAUGGGGAGCAAACAGG